AUAGAAAUGCGUUCGAGUCCAUCUGUGCCCUUGCCCUGUAAUAACCUGUACUGCUUGUAUAAUUUGAUUCUGUACUGUUUAUCUAACUUGUUUUCGUACUGCUCAACUAACUUGUUUUUGUAUCGCUUAUCUAUCUUGUUUGUCUCAGAAUGUUAUGGGAAAAGGGAUAGCUUACAGAAAUGAUUCACAGGGCGAGCCUCGAGAAAGUGAUCUGGCCAAUUACUCUCUCGCAUGUGGAAGCCUAACUUGGUAAGCUAUAAAGGACAGGUUCCCCCCCUGCUCUGGUGAGAGUCAGCCGUGGGGAUAUGCGCAGUCCUGCUCGGUAUUUUUGGAGACAGCUGCUUUCUCUUACCAGGGUCGAGGGGCUCUCCCGAUCUGCUUGCAAGGGUAAGAAUUAGUUCAGUUGCGUCUCAUGGGUUGUAUUGAUCUGUGAUUAAUAUAACCUUUGUUUGAGGAGAGUCGGCCGUGAGGAUUUGCGCAGUCCUGCUCGGUAGUUUUGGAGACAGCUGCUUUCUCUUACCAGGGUCGAGGGGCUCUCCCGAUCUGCUUGGAAGGAUUCACCAUGAAGCACUGGGUAUGGCGAACGAUGGCAAUAUUGGCAGUGGUGGGGAUGCUGCAGGCCUGGUCUCCAGGACAUCAAUUAACAAAGCCGGAUUGGGUCACACUGAGCUGGAAUAACUACACCAAAACCCGAACCCAAGAUAACUUCACCUGCAAUGGUAAUACAAAGUGUUCAUUCGCCAGCGUACUGGGACACUGUGGUGCUGUAAAAAUUGCAAAAUGUGGGCUAUAAUACUCGGAUAGCCCUGAAUAAAGUUGUACAGUGGAUGCCCGACGGUGCGCUCAUGCAUGUGUAUCAAGCGUACUGGGACCGAGUAGCAUCCAAGAUGGUCAUGGACAUAACUAACGUAACUCUACAACAGUGGCAGAACAUUACCAAGUGGAUGAACUGGACAGAAUGUACAUUGCAAAUGUUAUAUGCAUAUCACCAAUGCACCAAAGUACAAUCAUUGAUUUUACGACAAGAUAAUCAUGAAUAUAACAAUUUUGGAACAUUUCAGAGUUAUGGGUGAACGUGAUAAAAUAAUCUACUAUGUGUAACAAUACUAUGUGUAUGGGGAGAUAUGUUAUGCAUAAUGUAACGAGAGUGACACCUGUAUGUAAAUACUAUGUGCAUCCCAUAAUUGCUGGGGGAGCCCACUGGUAUCUCCAGGUUACAGGCACAUGGUUGGAUAUACAUACUAAUCAGACAUAUGAUUUACUAGAUUGUGACAAGACAGACCAAGGCAUGGUUUGCUUAUUAAGGACAGGACGUACUAACCCAUGUUUUACAGACGGAAAGGGGUUGUGUGAAUGGAGACAUGAGCCAUUGAGGGAAAUUUUGCACGAAGUUAUGUAUAAGUACGGUGCAUGCCCAUCCACAACUUACUUAUGUGCCUUAUUCUGGGUGUUUAUAACAAAACAACAUCAACACAAUGCUACUGUAUUAAAAAUUAAAACGAUAAUGGCACAAAAUACAAUCUUAGGGUUAGGGAAAGUUAUUGAACGUAAUGCACAAGAUGCGUGGUGGUCCAUAUUUGAGGGAUGGUCACCAAAGGCUAAAGGAAUAUUAAAUAUAUUAAUCCACCCCAUCUCAAUAUUAUUGGGGAUUGUAUUUCUUUUAUGUGUAUGGCAAAUAUGUUUAUGUAUCUAUCUUCGCAGAAUUACAAUGUAUUUGGCAGUGCACAGAUGGAUCUCGACCGAAGGGCCGAAUGAAAUAAAAAAAAAAGUUCUAGAAAGUUAUAGAAAUGCGUUCGAGUCCAUCUGUGCCCUUGCCCUGUAAUAACCUGUACUGCUUGUAUAAUUUGUUUCUGUACUGUUUAUCUAACUUGUUUUCGUACUGCUCAACGAACUUGUUUUUGUAUCGCUUAUCUAUCUUGUUUGUCUCAGAAUGUUAUGGGAAAAGGGAUAGCUUACAGAAAUGAUUCACAGGGCGAGCCUCGAGAAAGUGAUCUGGCCAAUUACUCUCUCACACGCGGAAGCCUAACUUGGUAAGCUAUAAAGGACGGGUUCCCCCCCUGCUCUGGUGAGAGUCAGCCGUGGGGAUAUGCGCAGUCCUGCUCGGUAUUUUUGGAGACAGCUGCUUUCUCUUACCAGGGUCGAGGGGCUCUCCCGAUCUGCUUGCAAGGGUAAGAAUUAGUUCAGUUGCGUCUCAUGGGUUGUAUUGAUCUGUGAUUAAUAUAACCUUUGUUUGAGGAGAGUCGGCCGUGAGGAUUUGCGCAGUCCUGCUCGGUAGUUUUGGAGACAGCUGCUUUCUCUUACCAGGGUCGAGGGGCUCUCCCGAUCUGCUUGGAAGGGUAAGGAUUAGUUCAGUUGCGUCUCUAUGAGUAUAUUAUAUCUCUGAUUAAUAUAUUCUUGUAUGUGUGUUUGUCUAUCAUUGUAUCAAGGGUGUGAAAUAAAGCGGACCUUAUUUGGAA